rnacentral:lncRNA from 1 species
AAAUUUAGCCAGGCGUGGUGGUGGGUGCCUAUAGUCCCAGCUAUUUGGGAGACUGAGGCAGGAGGAUUACUUGAACCCACGGUUUCGAGGCCAGCCUAGGCAACAUAAUGAGACCCCAUCUUUUAAAGUACUAGGUUCAACACCAAUUUUGGUGAAUUUAAUCAUCAUACUUGGCUAUAGCAGAAACCUAUAUUGCCAUUUGAAUAUAGUAAAAACAGAAUUAAAAGGCAAAACCAUUUUAAUAGUAUUAAAUGAAAGGGCUGAGUUCAAAGUGUUCUCCCUCACUGACAACAAAGUCUCUAUUCUCAGCGUGCUGAAGGGAAACAGAUGUGGAGGUGCUUAGCAGGGUGGCACUCACAGGGUGGUGCUGGGAAGGCAGGUCGGCCUUGACUGUCCAAGCAGUCAACAUGCAGAGCCAUCCUAGUCUCCUCCCUGGGCCCUGCACUGGGAGGCCUGGUCAGAUCUUUAUCUGUCACUACAUCUGGUGCUUUUAACUUGAACCAGCUCUAUAGAUGUUAGUGCAGGUCCAAAAGAGACUUAGCUGAAAUGAGUUUUAAAAGGAUUAUGAAAUAGUGCUUAGAAGAACAUGUGAAGAAGUUGAGCCUAUUUAGAUUGAAAAGAAGGCUGAAGAAGGACUUGUUAACUGAAAUAUAUAGGUAGGGAAAUCAUGCAGAUAUGAUAGUGCAGGCCAAGGGAGAACUUCCCUUUCAUCCUCUGAAGGGUCACUGGAAAGUCAGCUGACAAAAGGCAGAUUAAUAGGAGAAAUGGCAUGCAAAUUUGUUAAUGUGCAUGAGGGAGAGCUACAGGGUGAUUGGACUGUGUACCCAAGCUCGUGUACCCAACCCGCCAACAGGGUACACAAGUUUAUAUACAUACCAUCUUCAGGUUACAGAAAGAAUUGGGGGCUUGGAGCAUGGCCAAAAACAGGUUAUGGUGGUAAGUCAGGUUAUAGUGGCAAGACAGGUUGUGGGAGGGAGAAGAAAGGAGGCCUGGCUAGCAGAGUUGGUCUUGUUAUAGAGAUAAAACUUCACAGGUAGCAGCCCUCAGAGAGAAUUGAUGGUAAAUGUUUCUUUCAGACCUUUAAAGGUGUCAGACACUCGGUUCAUCUUUCCUAUAUCUUGAUAUUGGAGGGCCUCAGAGCAAACCAGGCUGCAUUAAUGCAGAUUUUCUCUACAGAUGCAAAUCUACCCCCAAAAAGACAGCUUUUCAGUAAUUCUUGCAUUUCCAGCCUUUCUGAAUAGCCAUCUUGAAAUACAUCAAAGAAGUAUAUUUUGGGGUGAAAUAGUUUAGUUUUCUUCAAUAGCAAAUUUUCAACAUUUUUACCAAAUUAAAAAUAACAAAUGUGGCCAGGCCUGGUGGCUCACGCCUGUAAUUCUAGCACUUUGGGAGGCUGAGGUGGGCGGAUCACGUGAGCUCAGGAGUUCAAGACCAGCCUGGGCAACAUGGUGAAACCCUGUCUCUACUAAAAAUACAAAAAAGUAGCCGGGUGUGGUGGUACAUGCCUGUACUCCCAGCUACUCAGGAGGCUGAGGCAGGAGAAUCGCUUGAACCUGGGAGGCAGGUUGCAGUGAGCUGAGAUUGCGCCACUGCACUCCAGCCUGGGUAACAGUGAGACUCUGUCUCAAAAAAAUAAAAUGAAUGCUAGACGUCUGUUGUUAUCAGAGGGUGUCAUUUAGAAAUAUUUCAAACUAAUUAUAACUUUUGAGAAGUAUGAAACCCUUUAACUCCUAAAGAUUAGGGAAGGCAGCAUUCUAACUUAACAAGCAGCAGGUGUAUUUCAUCCCUUAAAUACAGCCAUGCCAGGAACACAGAGAAUGAUCAAGUGAUGUGUCCGUAUUUCAAUCCUGUGAUUCAGGAAUCCAAGAAGAAGAAGUGUCACAUAUACUUACUUUGGGCCAUGAAGAGUAGUUUGUUAUCAUUUGAAGAACCAUUAAUUUUAUAAGCAGCUAUGGAUUUUACUAGGGUCACUUUCUUUGUUAGACCUUGACAGAGGGACCCCUGAGAUAAGAAUUGGAUAUUUAUUGACCCCUCCAUUUUAUGUGGUUAAGUUGCUUGAUUUUUUUCCUACUGCCUGUAUAAUUGCAGAAUGCCU